rnacentral:lncRNA from 1 species
UGUGUGCUUCCAUGAAACAAUAAGGAUGGAGAGUUCCACCUUAAAUACCCAUUUAAGUUCCAUCUCUCCUCCUAUGUGGGACAAGCAUCGAUAUCUCAUUCAUCUUAGCUCGGUUUUGGACGCGGUUUAGUUCGUUGCGAAGCUCUUCCAACAUAGAACACAAACCCACAAAUAAAUACAUAAAACCCGCUCAUUUUAUUAUAUUUAUUUCUAGUCCAAAAUAGGAAAAAAUCAUUUUCCUAUAUUUGUGAAAAAUGCUAUUUUCACUUAUUUUCCAACAAUCCCCCACAUGAAAAAUGCUAUUUUCAUCAAAUUUCCAACAAUCCCCCACAUGUAUGGAAAUGGAUCUUUUCCUUACACUUUUCAACGAUAAACUUCGACAGUUGAGUAUUGCAAGAUAGGUAGGUUGAAGCCUUUGAACCUUCUUUUGUGAAGCGCACUUAGCUUACUAGCGAUAUGUAGACGCGAUGUCCUUGAACAUACCCCCAUUUGUGUAAACGACAAUACACUUCACACAAUACUCUCCCUGGUUUGGCCAACUCCUCAUUGUCGUGUCCUAUUAUGGUCCUGGAACACUAGCCUGGUUCUGCGAGAGCUCUAGGAUUUGCGCACCCCACAAAUCCAUUUGAAGCGACCCCACUUCUCUCUAACAUAGGUGAUUCCCAUGAAUCAUUAAAAGCAUCAUGGUUAUUUGAUUUCCCGAAAUCAUUAACCUUAAUAUGCUUAACCUCACUUCAUGUCACUGAUUGGAAUGGACUAGGAAGUAUAUGUAACUCCCUUUUAUGUAGUUUGGGGUACUCCCCCACAGUGACUCCGUUCUGGUAAUAUGAUUAAGUUGUCCUAUUGAACUUAGAUCUUGGGAUCUCCAGUCAACUAAGUUAGGUUUCCCUCAUAUUCCCAUUAACCACGGGCUUUAGUCCCAUUCCUCUUGACGACGUUUCUACUAACUCUCUGCUUAAGCCUUUUGUAAACGGGUCCGCAAUGUUAUCCGCUGAUCUCACAUAAUCAAUUGUGAUAACACCCGUUGAGAGUAGUUGUCGUAUCGUGUUAUGUCUACGUCGCAUAUGCCUUGAUCUGCCAUUGUACAUCAAGCUUUGAGCUCUACCAAUCGCUGAUUGGCUAUCACAAUGUACACAUAUGGCUGGCAAAGGCUUUGGCCAUCUUGGAAUAUCUUCCACGAAUUGACGUAGCCAUUCCGCCUCCUCGCCUGACUUAUCCAAGGCGAUAAAUUCAGAUUCCAUUGUGGAUCUCGCUAUGACUGUUUGCUUAGAAGACUUCCAAGCAAUAGCAGCUCCUCCAAGUGUAAACACGUAACCACUUGUUGAUUUGGAAUCUUUAUUAUCCGAUAUCCAGUUUGCAUCAGUGUAUCCUUCGAUCACUGCUGGUUGUCGGGUAUAAUGCAGUCCAUAGUCUCUUGUGUAUCGUAUGUAUCUAAGCACCCUCGUGAUAGCCUUCCAAUGAUCCGCGCACGGAUUGCUGGUGUAUCUACUUAGCCUACUCACCGCGUAAGCCAAGUCGGGUCUAGUACAUGUCAUUAGAUACAUUAGACUACCUAUAAUUCUUGAAUACUCUAACUGAGCAACUCCAUCUCCUUUAUUCUUCUUGAGAUGUUGGGAGGUAUCAACUGGAGUUCGAGCGACACUCGUAUCUCCCGAGUUGAAUUUUUCAAGAAUUUUAUCCACAUAGUGAGAUUGACUUAAGACAAGACCUUCUUGGGUUCUUAUGAUCUUUACUCCAAGAAUCACAUCCGCUAAACCCAUGUCUUUCAUGUCAAAUCUCGCUUUCAACAUGCUUUUAGUAGCUUUGAUAAUUUUAUCAUUACUCCCAAUGAUAAGCAUAUCGUCUACAUAAAGGCAUAAGAUGACAUAACCUUCAUUUGUGUCUUUGAAGUAAACACAUUUGUCGCACUCAUUUAUUUUGAAACCAUUGUCAAUCAUGACAUGAUCAAACUUUUGGUGCCAUUGUUUUGGUGCUUGCUUCAAGCCAUACAAAGACUUGACGAGUUUACAUACUUUACCCUCUUGACCUGGGGCGGAGAAACCUUCAGGUUGCUCCAUGUAAAUUUCUUCUUCUAAAUCGCCAUUUAGAAAUGCGGUUUUAACGUCCAUUUGGUGAACUUCCAAAUUUCUUAAAGCCGCUAUAGCAAGAACCAAUCUAAUCGAGGUUAUGCGCGUCACAGGCGAGUAGGUAUCAAAGUAAUCUAGACCUUCCUUUUGUCUAAAUCCUUUAAUCACCAACCUAGCCUUGUACUUAUCAAUACUUCCAUCAGUUUUCAUCUUCCUUUUGAAUAUCCAACGAUAUCCAAGUGGUUUGCAACCAGGUGGAAGAUCUACUAACUCCCAAGUAUGAUUUUGCAAUAUAGAAUCUAUUUCAUUUCUUAUUGCUUCUUUCCAUUGAGGUCCUUCUGAAGAGGAGACCGCUUCGCGAUAUGUAUUGGGCUCGCCCUCAACCAUAUAGCUAACGAAGUCUGGACCGAAGGAUUUUUCAACCCUUGGCCUUUUACUUCGCCUACGAUCGGUUUCUUCAACCUCAGGUUGUUCAUGUGUCUUAUCAUGAACCACCUCAUCAACUGGUGUAGAUGAACUUUCACCUACUUCAAAAUUGGGUGUUGAUGACGUUGCAUGUGUUUGUCUUCUCAAAGGAAACACAUUUUCAAAGUAAGACACAACGUUAGAAUUCACCUCCAUAAUAGUGUUUACGUGUACAUCAGGAUUCUUGGACUCAUGUACAAGAAAGCGAUGUGCACUACUUUGAUGUGCAUACCCAAUAAAUAUGCAAUCAACAGUUUUGGGUCCUAUCCUAAGAGCCUUAGGAGGUGGUACAGUCACCUUUGCUAGGCACCCCCACACUUUCAAGUAUUUGUAUGAAGGUUUCUUCCUUUUCCAUAACUCAUAUGGAGUUUCGUCUCUCUUUUUGAGUGGUAUCCUGUUCAAAAGAUAGUUAGCCGAGAGAAUGGCUUCCCCCCACAGUUCGUGGCUCACCCCAGAACUUAUCAACAUGGCGUUCAUCAUUUCUUUCAAUGUGCGGUUCUUUCGUUCCGCCACGCCAUUUGAUUGUGGAGAGUAAGGAGGUGUACACUCAUGUACAAUGCCACUUUUUGCGCAUAACUCGGCAAAAGGUGCAACAUAUUCGCCUCCUCGAUCGCUUCGCAAAGCUUUUAUCUUCUUUUGAAGUUGAUUCUCAACUUCAUUUUUAUACAAGAUAAAUUUAGUUAUUGCUUCAUCUUUACUUUUUAGUAAAUAUACAUAGCAAUAUUUAGUACUAUCGUCAAUAAACGUGAUGAAGUACUUAUUUCCACCUCUUGUGGGUACCACUUUUAAAUCACAAAUAUCAGUGUGAAUUAAAUCAAGGGGUUCGGUUAUUCGUUCAACCGAUUUCGAUGAUGUUCUUGUAAGUUUGGAUUCAACGCAUGUUUCACAUUUAUAGUGUGAAUCAAUAU